UGCUUCCACGUUGAGGUGCGAGAAGAUGGAUCGGCAAGGGCUCAUGUGGUCGGUCGCGCCACUAUCUAUGAUCCAAUCUUGUUGUGAUUAAAAACAAAGGUGAAGGAGUUACCCACGAACUACUCGGUCGAAGAAGAAGGUUGAAGGAGGGCCAUGAGCUGCUGGUAAUUUUCUGGUGAGAGACCUGGAAUCGGACUGGAGCUAGCACCUGUAAAAUUGACAGCAACAGGCGGCUUCCCAAGAAGAGAAGGUGUGCGAUUGUUGCGGGGUUCACGGCCUGGGGG